rnacentral:rRNA from 1 species
AAUUCGCCCUUAGAGUUUGAUCCUGGCUCAGAUUGAACGCUGGCGGCAUGCCUUACACAUGCAAGUCGAACGGUAACAGGUCUUCGGACGCUGACGAGUGGCGAACGGGUGAGUAAUACAUCGGAACGUGCCCAGUCGUGGGGGAUAACUACUCGAAAGAGUAGCUAAUACCGCAUACGAUCUGAGGAUGAAAGCGGGGGACCUUCGGGCCUCGCGCGAUUGGAGCGGCCGAUGGCAGAUUAGGUAGUUGGUGGGAUAAAAGCUUACCAAGCCGACGAUCUGUAGCUGGUCUGAGAGGACGACCAGCCACACUGGGACUGAGACACGGCCCAGACUCCUACGGGAGGCAGCAGUGGGGAAUUUUGGACAAUGGGCGAAAGCCUGAUCCAGCAAUGCCGCGUGCAGGAUGAAGGCCUUCGGGUUGUAAACUGCUUUUGUACGGAACGAAAAAGCUUCUCCUAAUACGAGAGGCCCAUGACGGUAC